GUGGGGAAUAUUGGGCAAUGGGCGAAAGCCUGACCCAGCAACGCCGCGUGAAGGAAGAAGGUUUUCGGAUCGUAAACUUCUAUCCUUGGUGAAGAUAAUGACGGUAGCCAAGAAGGAAGCCCCGGCUAACUACGUGCCAGCAGCCGCGGUAAUACGUAGGGGGCAAGCGUUGUCCGGAAUGAUUGGGCGUAAAGGGCGCGUAGGCGGCCUGGUAAGUCUGGAGUGAAAGUCCUGCUUUUAAGGUGGGAAUUGCUUUGGAUACUGUCGGGCUUGAGUGCAGGGGAGGUAAGCGGAAUUCACGGUGUAGCGGUGAAAUGCGUAGAGAUCGGGAGGAACACCAGUGGCGAAGGCGGCUUACUGGACUGUAACUGACGCUGAGGCGCGAAAGUGUGGGGAGCAAACAGGAUUAGAAACCCGGGUAGUCC
rnacentral:rRNA from 1 species